rnacentral:lncRNA from 1 species
UUAUAGUGAAAUUUCCAAGAGGUCUUGGGGAGUGGAUGUAGGUGCUGGGGUGCACCGAACCACUAUACAUCUUUGUGUUUGUGAUGCCUUAUCUCUUGUAUUUCAUGCCUUACAUUCAUGCUUGAUUGUGUAAUAUCUCUAGCUUUGUUUUCUAUAGAGUUACAAGUGAUUGUUUAGAAUUUGCUUAGCUUCCACUCCAUUCUUACCAUACACAUAGAUUAAAAUUGAUCAUACAACUAUAAGUUAAUUUUAGAUCAAUUGCACCCUAAAGCCAUAGUAUAAUUGCUCUAGCUUAAUUUUCCA